rnacentral:rRNA from 1 species
GUACACUCCUGCGGGAGGCAGCAGUUGGGAAUAUUGGACAAUGGGCGCAAGCCUGAUCCAGCCAUGCCGCGUGAGUGAUGAAGGCCCUAGGGUUGUAAAGCUCUUUCACCGGUGAAGAUAAUGACGGUAACCGGAGAAGAAGCCCCGGCUAACUUCGUGCCAGCAGCCGCGGUAAUACGAAGGGGGCUAGCGUUGUUCGGAUUUACUGGGCGUAAAGCGCACGUAGGCGGACUAUUAAGUCAGGGGUGAAAUCCCGGGGCUCAACCCCGGAACUGCCUUUGAUACUGGUAGUCUUGAGUUCGAGAGAGGUGAGUGGAAUUCCGAGUGUAGAGGUGAAAUUCGUAGAUAUUCGGAGGAACACCAGUGGCGAAGGCGGCUCACUGGCUCGAUACUGACGCUGAGGUGCGAAAGCGUGGGGAGCAAACAGGAUUAGAAACCCUUGUAGUCCCA